rnacentral:snoRNA from 1 species
UCCGGUGCGGCUGAUGACAGCACUGCUGCUGAGACUCUGUGAUUGCUCAAAGUAAACGCGCUGACGCACUGUGG